rnacentral:lncRNA from 1 species
AUUUCAGCUCACUGCAGCCUGGACCUCCUGGGCUCAAGCGAACCUUCUGGCCUCAGGCCCCCUGAGUAGCUGGGACUACAGACGUAUGCCACCAUGCCCUGCUAAUUUUUUGUAUAGAUAGGGUUUCACCAUGUUACUCAGGCUGUAGCAUCAUUUUAAUAGCUGUAUAAUUUCCAUGAUGCACACUGUGUUUACUAAUUAUAACUCCUAUUGUUUUGUCAAACUUCAACAUUUUGUCAAGUUUUGCUACCAUUAACAAUGUCGCACAGAACAUUUUUAUAGAUAAUUCUUUAUGUCCAUCAGAGAUUAUUUCCUAAGGGUAAAUUCCUAGAACUGGAAUUGGUAGUUAAAGGUUACGCUUUUUUUUUUUUUUUUUUUUUUUUUGAGAUGAGUCUCGCCCUGUUGCCCAGGCUGGAGUGCAGUGGCACGAUCUCAGCUUACUGCAGCCUCCACCUCACGGGUUCAAGCAAUUCUUCUGCUGGGACUACAGGUGCCUGCCACCACGCCCAGUUAAUUUUUGUAUUUUUAGUAGAGAUGGGGUUUCACCGUAUUGGCCAGGUUGGUCUCAAACUCCUGACUUCAUGAUCCGCCCACCUGGGCCUCCCAAAGUGCUGGGAUUACAGGCGUGAGCCACAGCACCUGGCCCUGGUUAUGCUUAUUUUUAAGGCUAAAAAGUGCCAUUAGUAGGGCCCUGCCUCAAAAGCAUUUUUCAAAUUUCCGCUCCCCAUCUUAGUGUGUGCAAGGGCCCAUUUUGCCAUCUGCCUCCCUCCAACAUAGGGUUUGGUCAUUUUCCAAAAUCUUUUGUUGCUUUAAUUUGUGUUUCUUUAAUUAGAAAAUUUGACUUUUUUUUCCAUAUAUUUUGAGCCAUUUAUGUAACUCCUUUUCUUGAGUUUCCUAUUUAUAUCCUUCGCUUAUCUUUCUGUUGAGUUUUCCUCUUUUGUUAAAACAUAUGUAGAUUUCAUGGUUACUACUGUAUGAAAACUUUGUAAAUUCAGCUGUGAGUUCUUUGCUGACUGAAGAGUUCUGUGCUUUUUGUUUUAUUUUGUUUUAAUUUCCAAAUAGCAUUUCCUUUACUGGAUUUGUAAUUAAUUUUUCAAGUUAUGUCUUCUAGAAAAAGAGCAGGACCUGGAAGCAGGAGAGUUGAAAGGUCAAGAGCACACGCUUUGGGGUCAGGCAGACCUGCUGCUGAAUCCUGGCUUUGCUGGCGGACUUUGGUAGGGGCGGGGGGCCCACAUCACUGGGUCUCCGUUUUCUCAUCUGUAAAGUAGGAGAUAAUAGUAGGGUCCUGGUGAAGACUAAAUGAGACACUGUGUGCAAAGGGCCUGCUGCACGGCCCUUAGUCAGCGUUGCUUGCGAUGGUUGUUUCGUUAUUGUCACUCAGUCGCCUGAGGGGAACAUUCAGAGAGACUUAUCGGCAGGACGUGUACAAAGAGGACAGAAGAGCAGAUGCAGCCUCCAAGAAUGAGCUGCUGAGGACGAGAGAUCUUCCUUCCCUCCUGGCUAAACACCCUGUAGAAGCACUAAUGUGUCCAUGUGCCUCUGGAAGCCAGGCUUUCCCUGGAAGCACAGCUGUAGUAGCUAACUACUCAUAAGAACCUAACUAUGCUGAUGUUGAUGGAAAGGGCUGAAGUCUUUGAAGCCUCAUGGUGGAAAUUUAAAGAAAAUAAUGUGAGAGCGUCACAGACAACUGCACAUUCACCACCACAAAUGGUGCCAUCCCAGAGACAAAUAUGUAAUAGUUCAGAACUUGGGAAAAUGGCCCAGGAUCGAGCCAUGCUAAGAAUGGGAGCAAUUUGGCUGAUACAUGGCUGCCCUGUGCUCCAGCAGGGGGAAAAAAAAGGUUCUAAUUACCCAGCCGCAAUCCUGUAUUUAGAUGUAAAAGGGAGGAAAUAGCUGAGCUCUGUUCUAGUCACAGACAUGCCAAACGGGUCAAGAGAAAAGCCUUCUGCCCAGACCACUGCUGAGCCCACG